rnacentral:rRNA from 1 species
GGGGGUAAUCGGAGUUUUCACUCCCAACCCCUGUGACAUACCACUUGUUGCCUCGGCGGAUCAGCCCGCUCCCGGUAAAACGGGACGGCCCGCCAGAGGACCCCUAAACUCUGUUUCUAUAUGUAACUUCUGAGUAAAACCAUAAAUAAAUCAAAACUUUCAACAACGGAUCUCUUGGUUCUGGCAUCGAUGAAGAACGCAGCAAAAUGCGAUAAGUAAUGUGAAUUGCAGAAUUCAGUGAAUCAUCGAAUCUUUGAACGCACAUUGCGCCCGCCAGUAUUCUGGCGGGCAUGCCUGUUCGAGCGUCAUUUCAACCCUCAAGCACAGCUUGGUGUUGGGACUCGCGUUAAUUCGCGUUCCUCAAAUUGAUUGGCGGUCACGUCGAGCUUCCAUAGCGUAGUAGUAAAACCCUCGUUACUGGUAAUCGUCGCGGCCACGCCGUUAAACCCCAACUUCUGAAUGUUGACCUCGGAUCAGGUAGGAAUACCCGCUGAACUUAAGCAUAUCAAUAAGUCGGAGGAA